rnacentral:tRNA from 1 species
GCCUGGGUGGCUCAGUCGGUUAAGCAUCUGACUUCGGCUCAGGUCAUGAUCUCACGGUUCGUGGGUUCGAGCCCCGCGUCGGGCU